rnacentral:rRNA from 1 species
GAUGAACGCUGGCGGCGUGCCUAAUACAUGCAAGUCGAGCGAACAGACGAGGAGCUUGCUCCUCUGACGUUAGCGGCGGACGGGUGAGUAACACGUGGAUAACCUACCUAUAAGACUGGGAUAACUUCGGGAAACCGGAGCUAAUACCGGAUAACAUGUUGAACCGCAUGGUUCAACAGUGAAAGACGGUCUUGCUGUCACUUAUAGAUGGAUCCGCGCCGCAUUAGCUAGUUGGUAAGGUAACGGCUUACCAAGGCAACGAUGCGUAGCCGACCUGAGAGGGUGAUCGGCCACACUGGAACUGAGACACGGUCCAGACUCCUACGGGAGGCAGCAGUAGGGAAUCUUCCGCAAUGGGCGAAAGCCUGACGGAGCAACGCCGCGUGAGUGAUGAAGGUCUUCGGAUCGUAAAACUCUGUUAUUAGGGAAGAACAAAUGUGUAAGUAACUAUGUACGUCUUGACGGUACCUAAUCAGAAAGCCACGGCUAACUACGUG